GUCCAAACACUAAGUCAGCAGGACUAAAACCUGGGAACUCUUUAGUUGCUUCACUGGGAAACGAGGACACCAGCAGAGAAUCAGUGAGAUGUCUGCAUGUUUUGGUGACUGGGACCGAGUAACCACACAGGCUGGCCAGCAGAACAAGCUGUGCAGCGUUCCAGUCCUCGGGUCAGAACCAGCCUCUCCAUGGGUUGGUGGUGAUAAAGCACAGCGCUGCAGCAGGAGGCGACGGACGAUGAGAGCGGCUCUGAGCUGCAGCUCCUUGAGUCAUGUGACGUUCUGUUUGUGUUGCUGCAGCUUUCUGAAUGUACCGUGUUUGUUCUGCUUCUUCUUCUUCAUGUGUAUUUAUGGAGCCACGCCUCAGUGAGAUAUAUUUAUGAACACUGGAGAAAAAUCUAAUAAAAUAAUGGAAAACUAA